rnacentral:rRNA from 1 species
UACGUAGGGGGCAAGCGUUGUCCGGAUUUAUUGGGCGUAAAGAGCGUGUAGGCGGCCAUACAGGUCCGUUGUGAAAACUCGAGGCUCAACCUCGAGACGUCGGCGGAAACCAUCUGGCUAGAGUCCGGAAGAGGAGAGUGGAAUUCCUGGUGUAGCGGUGAAAUGCGCAGAUAUCAGGAAGAACACCCGUGGCGAAGGCGGCUCUCUGGGACGGUACUGACGCUGAGACGCGAAAGCGUGGGGAGCGAACAGG